ACAACACACAGCACAGUUUUCAUGUUUGUUAUGUGUUUUCUCUUCCUUAUAGAUCUGUUAGAGCCACGUCAAGGACUGCUGUGUCCAGGAGUGGAGAAAGGCUUAUGUGAGACAAGAGACUCUACUGUCAGAAGAAAGCAAGUGAUUUCAUCCUAGGUAACAGCUGACUCCUAUCUUCAGUUUUGUGUUCCUCGAAGAAUUCACUAGGAAAAUUCACGUGGAGCAACUCCAGCUAAAGAAGCAUGAAGACUAGUCUACUGGGGAAAGAAGAAAUGGGUUUCCAUGGACCUAUCAAUGAUACUCAUCACAGCUUUGUCUUUGCCGAGAAUCUACUCACCUACUUCAGCUUCUGCAUUAAAUUCCACUGAUCCCUGCUUGAGACAGCAAUGCCCAAGAUUGAUCUUAAAGGCUAAUGAAUUUCCCCAGCCAGAAGAAAGCACUGCUUUAAUCCAUCAUGCAGAGAGGAUCUGACGUCUGUAAUGUCGCUGUUACCAAAAAUAUCUGAUUCUGCAAUUUGGUGUGCAUCAGCUUUUGGAGUGAGCCUCUCAAAUCUCUACAGACCAAUGGAGACCAAGCAAGAUGCUCUCUAGCUGAACUAAGAAGAAAGGCAGCAAGUUUGGCCCAAAAGGUAGGAGAAGAUCUCAAUGCUCAGUGUGGGUCUGGUCACAGAGGAAAGUUACCACAAUGACACAAGACUAGAAGUCAUUCUGUCAUAACGAGUGAGUGAUAAGCAAUUAGUGUCUACCUGCUUUGAUAUGUAAAACACCGUUGCCAUCAAAGUCCAGGGGAAAAAGAAUCAUGGUUUUAUAAAUACAGCUUUAAACACCAUAUUUACAGAUGUAUUUGAAACUUCUGACUGCUUUGAGUAAGUGGUCUCCUUGAAAAUG
rnacentral:lncRNA from 1 species